CCAGUUAGAACACGACUCAGCAGUUCAGAAAGUGCGUAAACGCUCUCCGAAGGCGGAAAACGCCUCCUAUCUCCUCUCCUCCGCGACCUCUCUCUCCAUGGCCGCCAAGAGGAAGCUCCGCAGGUCGUCGGCGGUGGCUGCUCCAACAGCGCCGAAGGCGAAGGAAGACGAAGCGGAGAGGCUGUUCUCCUCGCGCCCCUUCGCCGACCUCGCCCUCCACCCCACCCCCUACGCACGCCCCCAAGGUCUCUCCCUCCCCCCUCUCCGAUUCCCCGUAUCUCUGUGGCCCUAGUGAUUUGGUAGUCCCCUCGGGAACCAGGAGCUCGCGUCUUUUUUGAGAAAAAUCUGUACAUAUGGUUUUUCAAAUUUCUAAUCCGGAUGGUUAAGAUUAUGCUCCUAGUUUAAAAUUUUAAAAGUUUUGACUGAAGACACGUCCAGAACGUCACUUAGAUGUGAUAUGGAGAGAGUAAUAUGUGAACAUUAGUGCAUUCUAUUGGAUUCUUUCAUAGGAACCUUGUUUAUAUUAAUACAAGUGCAAUUGCUUCAAAUCAGAAAUGAGAAUCCUCUGAUCUUCCAUAUCGCCAGUUUUGAAAUAUUCUACUGUAAUUUACAGCAAAUCCAGUGCCCAGGUAUGGUAGUAUUUCCACUAGUCUCAUGUCUUGUAGGCCCUACACACAGACCAAAACAAUAACCAAGUACACAUAGUUAAAAGAACACCAGCUUCACUUACAGAGCACUUCCCAGACCACUUUGUUCAAAAAUUAAAUAGAGCGGCAGAAGCAAAGCAUUGCACAGUUGCCUUUUGCUACAUAUGGCCGUGAAGUUGCGCAGUUGGACCAAAUCAAAGCAUGUUAAAUAUCAGCACUCAAAUCACCAUCCCAUCUUAUUCCAAGAUAUACUAGCAUAAAGUACUGUUAUGUUGAGAAUCGUGCAAGCAGCUACAGAGGCGGUAAGUUGCCGAUAUGUUUAUGCACUUGAUAAACUGUUCGAAUCUUACUGACCAUCAUAUUUUUCAUCAGGUUUCCAUUUAGAUAUAGCAUACAUCACUCUCCCUUUCCAUCCUUGUAGCAGCCAGCCGCAAUCUUCGACAGAGAAGAAUUCUUCAUGAUAAUGUAAGUUCUUCAUGUGUACUAUGUUCUUUAAGAUGGCUUGAUCGACAGGAAGCUGCUGAAACCCUGCCUUGAGGCACCUUGCUUGCCACUGCCUGUAACUUUCUGGCCUCUGAGUCCUUUCUGCAUCCUCACAUGCUAUUAUGUUAAGGGCAUCCCGCCCAAAUGGGAUCCUCUCAAGCAUCUUUCUUGCCUCAUUAUCCCAUGGAACAUUUGCAUCCAGCAUGUCAAACACUGAAGAGUAAUGGAGCAUAACUUCUUUGAAUCGUUGUAUGAAGAAGGGAGAACUAUGUAACACGUUCACAGUGCCAGAAAUAAAAACCUUUGGGUUCAUCCUCCUCAUAGUUUUCAGCACCUCGUCCCUUGCACUAUUUAUGCCAUCGGUUUCAUGACCAAGAUUCUUCAUCCGGAAUAUGCAGUUGAUUAUGAGAACUUCAUCCUCAUCAAUGUUAAGAUCCUCAAUUUUAAUGGUGUCCCAUCUUGCAGCGGCAAUGCCCUGAUACUGAAAAGGUACCUUGAACAUGUUUGCAUAAUCAGCCAACCGUUUCCCUGUCUCCUCGAUCAUUUCGCAGGGGCGAAAACCUGGCUGAGAAACGUCUAUACCUGUGAUCCGAAGCUUGGGGGCUCCCUCUUCUUGCUGUGCAAACUUCUGAAUCAUUAAUGGCCACUGAAAGCCAUAGCCGAUGCCAAAAUCAAUGAUGUGCACCCUUUGUUGCCCUUUUGAGACAUCAAGAAUAGCUUGGCUCGCAAAGUAGUAUGACGUCCUGACAAAAGGGCAAGCUGCAACAAAAAGGCUGUAAGCCUCUAACCAAUCUGUGGGACUUGUUCGCCUCUCGAUGAGGGUGCGAUAAACCUGACUCCCGCUCCCAGCCAAGCGUGCCUCAAGGCCAUCCGCCAAGUAAAAUGCCAGUCUCUCAGUGCAAUCACCAUCUGCUGAAGAGUGUUGUCUUAUCUUCAAUAGCAGUUCACUGGCCAACAGGUAGCUGUCUUCUGCCACAGCUUGUGCGCAAUGGAUAAGGAGAGUCCUGAGAUCAACCAACUCUUUCCUCGGUUGCAUCCUAGCCCUUAGCUUCUGACGUCCUUUGCUCCGGCCUUUCACUGAGUUAUUAUUUCCUUUCUCCGCCAUCGUUUCUUGUAGUCUUGUUGUUUGGUCGAAAGUCUUCCGACCAUAGCAUAGCAGAACUCGGUCGAAAUUUUCAUUUCGAGUUAUUGCACAAGUGGUGAAGACAAGAUGUUUGUUGCUCCUUGCUUCCAAGAUAUCCCAGUUUUCGCUCCUCUGGCCUACUGUCUCCUUUAUAGUCAGUUUGGAAAUAGAAAGUAUGUCAUUCUCUAAAUAUAUCACCAGCUUACCAAUACGUGGAGCAAACAUUGUUGCCUCCUCGACAUCUCUCUGACAAUGGAAGGCAGGGAAACUAGAUCUAGAAGUCGGUCCAACACUUAUCGACGGACUGUUUAGAGAAAGACUCCUAUUGCAGGUAUAUGGACUCAACAGGUUUGUUAAGGGCUGUAACACGCUGUAACUGGAACAGUUAUUACUGAAGCUUGUGCUCCAGAGCCUCUUGUAACUGCUGGUACCACUCUUAUCAGGGUUUUCUGGUUUGUUGUUGCUAUGCAUUGGCGGACAGUUAGUAGCUGGCGCGUAUACCUCCCCAAGAAUGUCACGGAAUGGCUUCUCAGCAGCCUGGAGAGCAGCCUCCCCUUGGCAUAUGUCGACCCUCUCGUCGACGUCAUCCAUCAGCAUGUGGCUUAUGUAGUGAAGGGCAUCAUUUGAUCUGAUCCGGCGGUGCUCAGGGCUGCCCCCUGUAGCAAUCUGAAAUUGGGUUUGUCCAAGGCUGCUGUUGACCCUGCACAACCCAGGGCUGGUGACUCCACCAAGCACACAUGUGCUUUCUUGGUUGGCUGGGGAAAGAACUGUGGAGUGUGGAUCUCUCAGGUCAUAGUUGUAGACGGCGAGUUGCUGCUGGGAAGAGGAAUCACCGUCGUAUGGUUGGUCGGUUGCUGCGACGGUGUCCAGAUUGUCACGGAGAGGUUCAGUUGCCAUUGUGGAAAGUCUGAUUUCCACCACAAUAUGAGAUAUAUGAUGCUUCUUUGCCCCACAGCAAAUGAAUCAGCUUGUUUCCUGGACGAAGAAAAAAGGGAAAUGGAAACUUAUGUAUGUGAGACGAAUUUCCGUAAAAUGGAGUUCUGCUCAGCGAGCUCCUUUUUUCCCCCUCACCCUCUGCUUCUUCCUUUUUAUUAGAUAUUCAACUUAGGAUUGUUUUAGCAUUCCAUGCUAAUUGAAAAAAAUAAAUCUGAAGGCUUGCAGACACCAGAAUACCUAUUUUAGAUGCUGAUUGAAUUAUCAUGCCUAAAGCGAUUUUGAAUCUACGAUACGCCUGAUACCACUGUUCCUUUUUAUUUGCAGGAGGCUGCUCAUCUGAUCUAAGCAAGUAGCAAAAGUAGGAAAGCACGCACCUUGGUUACUGAGCAGCAUCAUCAGCAUCAGAUCCAAUGCUUAGAGAGAAGAGUAACGAGGAUGUGGACUAUGGAAGAAGAGUAGUGAGGUUGUGCUGUUGAUGUGAGCUAAAUUUGUCGUUCCUCUACCUUAUGGCUUAGUUCCCAAUGUCAUGAGAUUGUGACGUUGAAUGGUUCAGGUUACAAGCAAUUAUUCGGUCGAUUAGUUCUAGGCCCGGCCGCGCACCAGACCUAUAAAAAAGGGUUUAUUAGGAGCGCUGGCCUGGGCUUCAGUCAUUAUUAAGGUCCCUACUUGAACUGUUAAAAAAAGCAGAUGCACUGUUCAAAGAAAUUUGUCCUUCUUUUCCACUUGAUGUAUAUCAUGAAUAGCAUUUAGCUGGUAUUCAAAGAAAAAAGAGGGCACUAUUAAAGAAACUUGUAUUGUUUUUCAUAUGAUAGUUGAUGUAUGUGAUGGCUGAGUUUUUGGAGGGUAGUUUGUUGUACUUUAUCUCAUUAUACCAUCAGACUUUUUUCGUAACUAUUUUCUCUGCAUUUUGAGAUUGGUAUAGUGGUAUAAAGCUUUGAGAUUAGUUUGUACUAUGUGAUAAAUUAGAUGAGUUACCACCAUCUUCACUAACUACCUAGUUUGUAUUUGGUUUUCGCCUAGGCCCUGCCAAUGCGACUCGUCAAGAGGGGUGGGAGCUCGGAGGUCGGCAUCACCUAGGGAGACUACUCGACGGCGCACUAUGUUUCGCC
rnacentral:lncRNA from 1 species